rnacentral:sRNA from 1 species
UACAAUAGGUAGGAAACUCAAGGGUGGUCAGUGUUACCCCAGAAGGAAAGGGGGUGAUGCUUGUGAUGACAGUAUUUCAAACGUUAAUGCUAAUGAUAGCAUUUGCCAGUUUGGUGUUGUCUAUCAUAUCUUUUAAAGACAAAAAAUAACCCGCCCUUGAGCUUUAGACGGCGAUAGGGCGGGUUAUUUUCCAACAUCGCUGAUCCCUCUUGAAGGGAACCUGGCUAUUGUGUGACUGUUUGGUGUUACAGCACCAAAC